rnacentral:sRNA from 1 species
AUACGCGACGAGACGGAGGGGGCGUCCCUUAGCCCUCCUCCGGCUCGUAGAGAUCAUCCCCGCGAUCACGCAUCAGGUCGGUCGCGACAAAGUCCAUCGCAUCCUCAGCGUCUUUGAAGCUGAGCUCCGACACCGUCUGGUUGCGGAUCGAGACGCCCGCCUUGUGGGUGCUCUCCGGAUCACCGGUGACCAGCGGAUGCCACAGCGGCAGGUCCUUGCCCUCGUGCAGCCGGCGAUAGGCGCAGGAGGGCGGCAUCCACUCCAGGUCCUCGAUAUUGUACGGCGUCAGCUUGAUGCAGUCAGGCACCGUCUUCUUGCGGUUCGGAUAGUCCUUGCAGCGGCAAAGGCGCUCGUCGAACAGCUGGCAGUGCACCCGCGUGGGGAUGAUUUCGCCGGUAUCUUCGUCUUCGAAGCGAACCAGGCAGCAAAGACCGCAGCCGUCGCAUAGGCUCUCCCACUCGGGGACGGUCAUUUCGGCGAGCGUCUUCGUCUGCCAGAAAGGUUUGCGUGGCGUCAUGACGCCGUCCUAAACCCGAUUUAUCCGGCGACCAAACAGAGCCUGACGCAAAC